rnacentral:rRNA from 1 species
GACGAACGCUGGCGGCGUGCUUAACACAUGCAAGUCGAACGGCAAGGCCCUGCUUUUGUGGGGUGCUCGAGUGGCGAACGCGUGCGUAACACGUGUGUAACCUGCCCUUCUCUUUGGGAUAACUUCAGGUAACUGGGGCUAAUCCCGGAUAGCAGCUCCUGCUGCGUGGAGGGGGUUGGAUCGUCUCGGCUGGAGCGGAUGGAUGGGCGGCUUAUCAGCUUGUUGGUUGGGUAGUGGUUUACCAAGGGUUUGACGGGUAGCCGGCCUGGGAGGGUGAACGGGGACAUUGGGACUGAGAGACGGACCAGACUGCUACGGGAGGCAGAAGUGGGGAAUAUUGCACAGUGGGAGGAAGCCUGAUGCAGCAACGCCGCGUGCGGGAUGACGGCCUGCGGGUUGUAAACCGCUUUCGCCUGUGACGAAGCGGGAGUGACGGUAAUGGAUAAAGAAGCACCGGCUAACUACGUG